rnacentral:tRNA from 2 species
UCCCAGAUAGUUCAGUGGUAGAACGCAGCGCUGUUAACGCUGAUGUCGUAGGUUCGAAUCCUACUCUGGGAGCUA